GAUGAAGAACGUAGCGAAAUGCGAUAAGUAGUGUGAAUUGCAGAAUUCAGUGAAUCAUCGAAUCUUUGAACGCACAUUGCGCCCCUUGGUAUCCCGAGGGGCAUGCCUGUUCGAGCGUCAUUAUCACCCCUCAAGCCCUCGGCUUGGUGUUGGACGGUUUGGUGGAGGCCCCCUCGGGGGCUCCUGCCCCUCCCAAAGACAAUGACGGCGGCCUCGUUGGACCCCCGGUACACUGAGUUCUUCACGGGACACGUAUCGGACACAUGGGUUUACGGGACACGGUCUGCCUCCCCUCAGGGAGAAUCUUUCUAAGGUUGACCUCGGAUCAGGUAGGGAUACCCGCUGAACUUAAGCAUAUCAAUAAGCGGAGGA
rnacentral:misc_RNA from 1 species